rnacentral:lncRNA from 1 species
GGACACAGCUAGGGGCAUGGGGAUUGGAGACCAAGAUCAUCCUUUCAGGCAAUGGCAAAAGUAGGAAGGGAUGAAGAGGCUGGAAAACUGGUGACGAGUAGAAAAAUGAGUCAAGUGAGGAAUUUUCAGAGCAUAUUGUGAUGAAAAUAAAAAAGAUGACCUGGAUAGCCUGAGCUUUUUAUGCAAGCUGUAGCAAAGAGGGUAUGAAGCUUAAUCAUAUUAAAUGGGGAGGUAAAAAAUCCAUUUUCACUGUAAUUUAUUUAUUGAGACUUAUCUUUUUGGUAGGUGUAGACAUGAAGUAGGGGUCUUUGGCAGUGAGCUUUCUAGAAACACUUGGAAGUUUGUAGGCCCGCCCUUCACUCUUACCGAUGGCCAUGUUGGGGCUCAGAAGGGGUGGUCUGUUGAGCACACAAAUCUCUGUGGAUGGGUCCCCUUUAGAGUCCAGAAUCUACUCCUCAACACCUCCCCUGCUCCCACCCUACUGCAAGAAACUACUGUUUCUCAACUGCUCUAUCAUAAAAGCCUCCUAACUGGUUUCCCUGCUUCCCUGGUUUUCCUCUACCACAGUCCAUUCUCCACUCUGAAGCCAGACUGAUAAAUUGAAUUAUUUGAUUUAUUUGCUCAAAACUCACCAGUGACUAUUACAUUCACAGUAAAAUCCAAAGUUUUCACCAGACCUAUAAAACUUUUCACAAUCUCUCUGACUUCCUCCCCAUUCCCCGCUCCUUUUUGUCCAUUUCAGCUACAUCACCUCCUUGUUAUUCUUAAAACAUAGCAGGAAUACUGCUACCUUGGGCCUUUUACUUUCAGACAGCCCCUGGAUCUUCCUUCUCCCAGUGAAUUGCAUGUUCAGUUCUCGUAGUUACUUCUGACUUCUGCUCAAAUGUCACCUUUUCAGAGAGGCCUUCCCUCAUCACCCUAUGUAGAAUAUCUUAUUCUGAUUCAUUUUUCUUCACAGCACUUACCACUUAACAUAACUUGUAUCUCCACAAAAGAAAGUAAAGUCAAUAAAUAAAGGAUCUUUGUUUUUUUCA